rnacentral:rRNA from 1 species
UGUAAAGUUCAAGCUCCGAUUAUGAGGGCGAAACCGCGAAUGGCUCAUUAAAUCAGUCAUAAUCUACUUGAUUGUUUAAAGUUUAUAUGGAUAACUGUGGUAAUUCUAGAGCUAAUACAUGCACAAAAGGGGCGACUCCAGCAAUGGAGAAGCUUCGCGUUUAUUAGAAUAAGACCAAUGAUUGUGCUCACGCUCAAUCUCUUCAAUGGUGACUCUGAAUAAAUAAUGGGUGAAAGCCCAUGAUGCCGACCUGACAUACCAAAAGGGCCCGCAAGGCGUCCUGUCAGGCAAUUCAAUCGAGUGUCUGCUCUAUCAACUGUGGAUGGUAGGGUAAUUGCCUACCAUGGUGAUGACGGGUAACGGGGAGUUAGGGCUCGACUCCGGAGAACAAGCCUGAGAAACGGCUAGUAGGACUAAGGUCUGCAGCAGGCGCGAAACUUACACAAUGCUAGAUUACAAUUAGCGAUGUAGUGAAGAAAAAUAACGAUGUACUUACAUCUAAACAUGUUAGUACAAUUGGAAUGAGACGACUCUAAACCGGUCAGUCGAGUAACAAAUGGAGGGCAAGUCUGGUGCCAGCAGCCGCGGUAAUUCCAGCUCCAUUAGCAUACAUUAAAGUUGUUGCGGUUAAAAAGCUCGUAGUUGAAUAUUGGGCGGGUUCUAUUUGGGGUGUUGCGCCGCUAAGGCUUUUGGGUCGGUCCACCGUGGCUCCCUCAAGCUGGCCUCACUUUUCCACUAGGAAUCCGCUGUUUCGUCACUUAAUCGAGUGCGAAGCGGGCCGGCACAAGGGUUCUUGAAAGCACCCCCGGGUGCGCCCUGUAUCGGCAUGUUUACCUUGAGAAAAUUAGAGUGCUCACAGCAGGCAGUUGGGGUGUAAAAGCCUCUUUUUGCUUGAAUAAUGUUGCAUGGAAUAAUAGAAUACGGCCUCGGUUCUAUUCUGUUGGUCUUAUAGAACAACAAACAAGUUGGUUAAAGCGAUCAAAAGUUUGCUUGCGAGUGUGGUUCAUGGGGGCCGGAGUCCUGAUUGGUUUGGUGUUCUGUUGCCUUUGGAUAAAACCAAAGCGCCUGGCAUCAUCCAGUUGCUCCGUACAACCCGCGUUCCAUUCAAAGCACUCCUAGUUAAACUAGCUUUCUAAUCAACUGAGGCAAUGGUUAAAAGAAAUAGUCGCGGCGGCAUCAGUACUGCAUCGUGAGAGGUGAAAUUCUUAGACCGAUGCAAGAUUAACUGAAGCGAAAGCGUUUGCCGAGGAUAUUUUCAUUAAUCAAGAACGAAAGUUAGAGGUUCGAAGGCGAUCAGAUACCGCCCUAGUUCUAACCAUAAACGUUGCCAACUAGCAAUUGGGUUGCGAUUCCUUUAAUCGAAGCGUAAAAAACUUCGAUCAUUAUGAUCCACCCAGCGGCUCUCGUAGGGAAACCAAAGUGUUUGGGUUCCGGGGGAAGUAUGAUUGCAAAGUUGAAACUUAAAGGAAUUGACGGAAGGGCACCACCAGGAGUGGAGCCUGCGGCUUAAUUUGACUCAACACGGGGAAACUUACUAGAUUAGAACUCUGGAAUGAUUGACAGAUUGAUAGCUCUUUCUUGAUUCAGAGGAUGGUGGUGCAUGGCCGUUCUUGAUUCGUAUUCCGAAACGUCUGCUUAAUUGCGAUAACGAGUGAGACCUCACCCAACUAACUAGUCGUUUGGUGCGCUGUGGGACGUUCAAGUCUCCGUGGGAUUUGUUCGGUUAAUUGCGGGCAACCGUGUAUGGCCGACUACCCGCGUGAGAUGUCCUCUGCUCGCCAGCGGACUUCUUAGAGGGAUAAACGGUGUUUUAACCGUAAGAAACGAAGCAAUAACAGGUCUGUGAUGCCCUUAGAUAUUCUAGGCCGCACGCGUGCUACAAUGGCGUGUGCAGAAAGCUUGUUCGAGGUUUGUCCGGAGAGAACUGGUCGAUUUGGCUGGCGGGUUGGGGCAACCUGGCUUGUUGGUCGUCGGAAAAGUGACUCCGGUUCACAGGCCGAGAGAAACCGUAGUCGAAAGAUUACGGCAAUCAUAAAUACACGCCGUGAUUUGGGAUUGGGGAUUGCAAUUGUUGCCCAUGAACGAGGAAUUCCCAGUAAGCGCAAUUCAUCAUAUUGCGUUGAUUACGUCCCUGCCCUUUGUACACACCGCCCGUCGCUACUACCGAUUGGAAGUUUUAGUGAGGCAUUUGGACCUGCUAUCCAUAGGGAAGGCAACUUUUCUGGGACGGCGGGGAAGUCUGUCGAACUCAAAUUUCUAGAGGAAGUAAAAGUCGUAACAAGGUUUCCGU